rnacentral:tRNA from 1 species
CCCCGUGCCUGACGUCUCGCUGAAAGGAAACCCACGCUCAAACCUCAGCUCCUGGGUGCUUUUUUUUUUUUUUCCUCCCUUUUUUUUCCUCUAAAUCCUCUUCCCACCUUUAUCCCUUGCCUCGUGCGGAUGCUGAGAGGGAGACGCAGCGACGGAUUCUGCUCCGGGAUUUCGCUGUGCUCGGGGAUGCUGCGGAAACCGUUGCUGGGGAGGCGGGUACCGGCGGCUUCUUGCUGCAUCGGGCCAGAAAUGGAUCAUCCCUGGGAUAAUUCCAGCCCGCCUGGGAGCGGGAGGGGGCUCCGGAGGUGGGGAUUCCUCAGUUCCGGAGCCGCCGCCGCUCCCCUCACGGUGAGGUCUCUGUGGCGCAAUGGACGAGCGCGCUGGACUUCUAAUCCAGAGGUUCCGGGUUCGAGUCCCGGCAGAGAUGAUCUCCAGGCAGGUGUCUCUUUUCUUUUCGUGCCAUUUUCCUCCCAGGACCCCCCUCUGCAAGGUUCGUAACGACCCCAAGGGGAUGGGACCACUUUUUGGGACAUCCCCUGCUCCCUUCUUGAAGCAUUUCUCCUCCAUCUUCCAUUUCUCCUCCAUCAUCCAGUUCUCCGUCAUCUAUUUCUCCUCCAUCAUCCAUUUCUCCAUCAUCAAUUUCUCCUCCAUCAUCCAUCUCUUCUCCAUCAUCCAUCUCUCCUCCAUCCAUUUCUCCUCCAUUUCCCCUCCAUCAUCCAUCUCUCCUCCAUCAUCUAUUUCUCCGUCAUCUAUUUCUCCUCCAUCAUCCAUUUCUCCAUCAUCAAUUUCUCCUCCAUCAUCCAUCUCUCCUCCAUCAUCCAUUUCUCCUCCAUCAUCCAUUUCUCCUCCAUCAUCCAUUUCCCCUCCAUCAUCCAUUUCUCCAUCAUCCAUUUCUCCAUCAUCAGUUUCUCCUCCAUCAUCUCUAUCCCCUCCAUCAUCUGUUUCUUCUCCAUCAAUUUCUCUUCCGUCAACAAUUUCUCCUCCAUCAUCAAUUUCUUCUCCAUCAUCUCUUUCUCCUCCAUCAUCCAUUUCUCCAUCAUCCAUUUCUUCUCCAUCAUCUGUUUCUUCUCCAUCUCUUUCCCCUCCAUCAUCAAUUUCUUCUCCAUCAUUUAUUUCUCCUCCAUCAUCUUAUUUCUCCUCCAUCAUCUAAUUUCUCCUCCAUCAUCUAUUUCUCCAUCAUCUCUUUCUCCUCCAUCAUCAAUUUCUCCUCCAUCAUCAAUCUCUCUCCCAUCAUCAAUUUCCCCUCCAUCAACUCUUUCCAUCAUCUCUUUCCCCUCCAUCAUCUGUUUCUCCUCCAUCAUUUAUUUCCCCUCCAUCAUCAAUUUCUCCUUGGUAAAUAAAUUCAGAUUUUCUCCAGUUGGGAAUGUUUGG